AUCUUCCACACUUAUCCUCUCCUCUCCCUCUCCUUCUCCGGUUCUCCCUCUCCUAUCUCUCUCUCACCGGUCGGCAUGGAGCAGCGGUAACUCCACGAAAAGGCCCGGCGGCGGUGACUGCAAAGCGAGCAUGGCUCGCGGCAACUCAACAAAGCGGCCCACCAGCGACGGCUGCAAAGCGGGAAGGAGGGGCGUAGCGGCGGCUCAGUGAAGGGGUUUGGCGCAUCUCCUCCUCUGCUCCCGCCCGCCUCUACCAACUAAGCCCAUAGUCGACGAGCCUCGAGAGGCCGCAUCAGAAGCCAACAGCCUUGGGUGGUGACGACGACCUCGAUGAUGUGACGAUUUCUAGGAACAAGCUCGGGGGAGGUGGAUCCAUCGCCGGUGAGCUUGGGGGAGGCCGACGAUCCGUUGCCAACAAGCUCAGGGGAGGUGGAUCAUCGUCUGCGGGCUCAGGGGAGGCCGAUUAUUCAUCAGCUUGUUUGUAACCUAUUGUUUGUUCUAGUGGAUCUAAUUAUAGCUGUGUUCGAUGUUGUUCUUGUUUAUACUUGUCUUUUCUUGUUUGUCUAUGGAUCUGAUUCUAAUUUGAAUAUGAUGCUUGCAUGCAAUG
rnacentral:sRNA from 1 species